rnacentral:rRNA from 1 species
AGUGAACGCUGGCGGUAGGCCUAACACAUGCAAGUCGAACGGCAGCACAGUAAGAGCUUGCUCUUACGGGUGGCGAGUGGCGGACGGGUGCGGAAUACAUCGGAAUCUACUUUUUCGUGGGGGAUAACGUAGGGAAACUUACGCUAAUACCGCAUACGACCUACGGGUGAAAGCAGGGGAUCUUCGGACCUUGCGCGAUUGAAUGAGCCGAUGUCGGAUUAGCUAGUUGGCGGGGUAAAGGCCCACCAAGGCGACGAUCCGUAGCUGGUCUGAGAGGAUGAUCAGCCACACUGGAACUGAGACACGGUCCAGACUCCUACGGGAGGCAGCAGUGGGGAAUAUUGGACAAUGGGCGCAAGCCUGAUCCAGCCAUACCGCGUGGGUGAAGAAGGCCUUCGGGUUGUAAAGCCCUGUUGUUGGGAAAGAAAAGCAGCAGGUUAAUACCCCGCUGUUCUGACGGUACCCAAAGAAUAAGCACCGGCUAACUUCGUG